rnacentral:rRNA from 1 species
CCUACGGGAGGCUGCAGUGAGGAAUAUUGGUCAAUGGGCGCGAGCCUGAACCAGCCAAGUCGCGUGAGGGAAGACGGCCCUAUGGUUUGUAAACUUCUUUUGCCGGGGAGCAAAAGGCGACACUAGUGGCGUUAUGAGCGUACCCUAAGAAAAAGCAUCGGCUAACUCCGUGCCAGCAGCCGCGGUAAUACGGAGGAUGCGAGCGUUAUCCGGAUUUAGUGGGUUUAAAGGGCGUGCAGCCGGGAAGACAAGGCAGAUGUGAAAUCGCGUGGCUCAACCGUGGAACUGCAUUUGAAACUGUUUUUCUUGAGUACCGGAGAGGUAAUCGGAAUUCCGUGUGUAGCGGUGAAAUGCGUAGAUAUAAGGAAGAACACCAGUGGCGAAGGCGGAUGACUGGACGGCAACUGACGGUGAGGCGCGAAAGCGUGGGGAGCAAACAGGAUUAGAUACCCCUGUAGUC